GCACGGUCAUCUUGUUCUAGUGGGUCCUCUUUAGAGCUUGUUGCUUUAGCGUCAGGAGCCGAUGUCACUGAUGAACACCAGCACAUGCCCAAGAGUACAGAAUUGAGGUCUAUGGAGGAUCUCAUGAGACUGGGGGAUCCUACAUAGACAAAGCCAACUCCCUGCAGACAUCGGGACUGACACUGUAGCUCCGCCCAGAGUCUAGGAAAGUCAGGCAGAGCAAAUAUACUGA